UACGUAGGGGGCAAGCGUUGUCCGGAAUCAUUGGGCGUAAAGCGCGUGUAGGCGGCUUGGUAAGUCCGCUCUGAAAGCCCGGGGCUCAACCCCGGGAGGCGGGUGGAUACUGUCAAGCUCGAGUCCGGAAGAGGCGAGUGGAAUUCCUGGUGUAGCGGUGAAAUGCGCAGAUAUCAGGAGGAACACCAAUGGCGAAGGCGACUACCUGGCCUGUUCUUGACGCUGAGGCGCGAAAGCUAGGGGAGCAAACGGG
rnacentral:rRNA from 1 species